GACGAACGCUGGCGGCGUGCCUAAUACAUGCAAGUCGAGCGGACAGAAGGGAGCUUGCUCCCGGAAGUCAGCGGCGGACGGGUGAGUAACACGUGGGCAACCUGCCCUGCAGAUUGGGAUAACUCCGGGAAACCGGGGCUAAUACCGAAUAACAUUGGAACCCUCAUGAUUUCCUUUUAAAAGGCGGCUUCGGCUGUCACUGCAGGAUGGGCCCGCGGCGCAUUAGCUAGUUGGUGAGGUAACGGCUCACCAAGGCGACGAUGCGUAGCCGACCUGAGAGGGUGAUCGGCCACACUGGGACUGAAACACGGCCCAGACUCCUACGGGAGGCAGCAGUAGGGAAUCUUCCGCAAUGGACGAAAGUCUGACGGAGCAACGCCGCGUGAGUGAAGAAGGUUUUCGGAUUGUAAAACUCUGUUGUCAGGGAAGAACAAGUACGGUAGUAACUGCCCGUACCUUGACGGUACCUGGCCAGAAAGCCACGGCUAACUACGUGCCAGCCGCCGCGGUAA
rnacentral:rRNA from 1 species